rnacentral:rRNA from 1 species
CCUACGGGUGGCAGCAGUGAGGAAUAUUGGUCAAUGGGCGAGAGCCUGAACCAGCCAAGUCGCGUGAGGGAGUACUGCCCUAUGGGUUGUAAACCUCUUUUGUCGGGGAGCAAAAGCCGGACGUGUCCGGCUGUGAGAGUACCCGAAGAAAAAGCAUCGGCUAACUCCGUGCCAGCAGCCGCGGUAAUACGGAGGAUGCGAGCGUUAUCCGGAUUUAUUGGGUUUAAAGGGUGCGCAGGCGGAUUUUUAAGUCAGCGGUAAAAUCGUGGGGCUCAACCCCAUCCAGCCGUUGAAACUGGGGAUCUAGAGUGUGCGAGAGGUAUGCGGAAUGCGUGGUGUAGCGGUGAAAUGCAUAGAUAUCACGCAGAACCCCGAUUGAGAAGGAAGCAUACCGGUGCACAACUGACGCUCAGGCACGAAAGCGUGGGUAUCGAACAGGAUUAGAUACCCGUGUAGUC